rnacentral:tRNA from 1 species
GCCUGGCUGGCUCAGUUGGUAGAGCAUGUGACUUUUGAUCUCAGGGUCAUGAGUCCACGCCCCAUGUUGGAUG